GAUGAACGCUGGCGGCGUGCCUAAUACAUGCAAGUCGAGCGAACAGACGAGGAGCUUGCUCCUCUGCCGUUAGCGGCGGACGGGUGAGUAACACGUGGAUAACCUACCUAUAAGACUGGGAUAACUUCGGGAAACCGGAGCUAAUACCGGAUAAUAUAUUGAACCGCAUGGUUCAAUAGUGGAAGACGGUUUUGCUGUCACUUAUAGAUGGAUCCGUGCCGCAUUAGCUAGUUGGUAAGGUAACGGCUUACCAAGGCGACGAUGCGUAGCCGACCUGAGAGGGUGAUCAGCCACACUGGAACUGAGACACGGUCCAGACUCCUACGGGAGGCAGCAGUAGGGAAUCUUCCGCAAUGGGCGAAAGCUUGACGGAGCAACGCCGCGUGAGUGAUGAAGGUCUUCGGAUCGUAAAACUCUGUUAUUAGGGAAGAACAAAUGUGUAAGUAACUAUGCACGUCUUGACGGUACCUAAUCAGAAAGCCACGGCUAACUACGUG
rnacentral:rRNA from 1 species